rnacentral:snoRNA from 1 species
AAUAGGCAAAGAUGAUGAAUCAAUUAGAUGUGUGAAUGGAGCUUAAUCUAUAUUGAACUCAACUUUUUUGAGGCAUUGUAUUGUCUGAUUUGCUUAUU